rnacentral:misc_RNA from 1 species
GAUGAAGAACGUAGCGAAAUGCGAUAAGUAAUGUGAAUUGCAGAAUUCAGUGAAUCAUCGAAUCUUUGAACGCACAUUGCGCCCCCUGGUAUUCCGGGGGGCAUGCCUGUCCGAGCGUCAUUACAACCCUCAAGCUCAGCUUGGUGUUGGGCCCCGCCGCCCCGGCGGGCCCUAAAGUCAGUGGCGGUGCCGUCCGGCUCCGAGCGUAGUAAUUCUUCUCGCUCUGGAGGUCCGGUCGUGUGCUCGCCAGCAACCCCCAAUUUUUUUCAGGUUGACCUCGGAUCAGGUAGGGAUACCCGCUGAACCUAAGCAUAUCAAUAAGCGGAGGA